AAAACGGCCCUUUUCAGGGCCAAAAAUGUAACACGUUUCAGAAGUUU
rfam:Pediculus humanus corporis strain TSDA 1103172085537, whole genome shotgun sequence.